AUGACACAGAGUCAUUGUCAAGGAUUUCUUUUGCUGACUGUUACUUUGCAGAUUGAGCUGCCAACAUUACAUGGCAGAUGUUGGAGAGGAAGGAAAUGAUCCCUUUCAAUUUCUGCCAUUGCAUUUAUCUUGAUUCCCUGGGGCUUUAUGGGGGCAAAUCGAAGCCAAGGCAAGAAGGACAGCAUGCUAUCAGUCUUCAGGCAGUGAAAUUGAGGGUUUCAGGUCAGGCAGAAAGAAAAUGUAAACGAAGUGACAGGAAUUGCAGAUCACCUACAGACUGACAAGCCAUGAAAAAUUAAGAUCCUGACAGGACUCUGCAACAUUCAGUAUGAAGCUGCUGCUGGUAAUGUGCUGAUAUUGAGAUGACAGAUGGAAGACGGAGCUAUGAUUUCAGGAAUAUCCAAGCCAUUUCACCAGAGAGAAACUUUUGUCUUUGCUUUCCCCAAAACACCUCUUGAUUGUGGACUGAGCAGACCUCUUUGCUGGGGCAAAAUUUUGACUAAUAAAGGUUUAUG
rnacentral:lncRNA from 12 species